rnacentral:rRNA from 1 species
AGCAAUUACAAAGCGAAACUGCGAAUGGCUCAUUAUAUAAGUUAUCGUUUAUUUGAUAGUACCUUACUACAUGGAUAACCGUGGUAAUUCUAGAGCUAAUACAUGCUGAAAAUCCCGACUUCGGAAGGGAUGUAUUUAUUAGAUACAAAACCAAUGCCCUUCGGGGCUCUCUUGGUGAUUCAUGAUAACUUCUCGAAUCGCACGGCCCCGCGCCGGCGAUGGUUCAUUCAAAUUUCUUCCCUAUCAACUUUCGAUGCUACGGUAUUGUCCUAGCAUGGUUGCAACGGGUGACGGAGGGUUAGGGCUCGACCCCGGAGAAGGAGCCUGAGAAACGGCUACUACAUCCAAGGAAGGCAGCAGGCGCGCAAAUUACCCAAUCCCGACUCGGGGAGGUAGUGACGAUAAAUACCGAUACAGGGCUCUUUUGGGUCCUGUAAUUGGAAUGAGUACAAUUCAAAUCCCUUAACGAGGAACAAUUGGAGGGCAAGUCUGGUGCCAGCAGCCGCGGUAAUUCCAGCUCCAAUAGCGUAUAUUAAAGUUGUUGUGGUUAAAAAGCUCGCUAGUAGAAGCUCGGGCUCCGGCCGACCGGUCCGCCUCACCGCGUGCACUGGUUCGGCCGGGCCUUCACCUUCUGCGGAACCGCAUCUCCUUCACUGGGGGUGUCGGGGAAACAGGACGUUUACUGUGAAAAAAUUAGAGUGCUCCAGGCAGGCCUAUGCUCGAAUAGAUUAGCAUGGAAUAAUGGAAUAGGACGUGUGGUCUUAUUUCGUUGGUUUCUAGGACCGCCGUAAUGAUUAAUAGGGACAGUCGGGGGCAUCAGUAUUCAAUCGUCAGAGGUGAAAUUCUUGGAUCGAUUGAAGACUAACUACUGCGAAAGCAUUUGCCAAGGAUGUUUUCAUUUAUCAGGAACGAAAGUUAGGGGAUCGAAGACGAUCAGAUACCGUCGUAGUCUUAACCAUAAACUAUGCCGACUAGGGAUCGGACGGUGUUAUUUCUUGACCCGUUCGGCACCUUACGAGAAAUCAAAGUGCUUGGGCUCCAGGGGGAGUAUGGUCGCAAGGCUGAAACUUAAAGAAAUUGACGGAAGGGCACCACCAGGGGUGGAGCCUGCGGCUUAAUUUGACUCAACACGGGGAAACUCACCAGGUCCAGACACAACGAGGAUUGACAGAUUGAGAGCUCUUUCUUGAUUUUGUGGGUGGUGGUGCAUGGCCGUUCUUAGUUGGUGGAGUGAUUUGUCUGCUUAAUUGCGAUAACGAACGAGACCUUAACCUGCUAAAUAGUCCGUAUUACCCCGGUAGUACGCCGACUUCUUAGAGGGACUAUCGGCUCAAG